GUCUGUGAGCUGUUUAGGUUUUGUUGUUACUGACAAUGUCUUAAAGAGACCAGAUGCUGGAGGAUGUUUUGAAGGUCGGGAAGGGAGCAGAGCCCUCGAAGGCAGGUGGCUCAGUGGGGGUGCAGGGAGCGCGGGAGUGAGCCCCCGUGGCCUGUGCCUCCCCCCGUUUGAAUGCACACCCUGAUGAAGGCGGAGGUCCCUGGAGGAGCCAAGUCUAUGAAGGACCGGCCGGAAAUAAUGGGUACCUUGGCAGCCCUCUGGGCUCUGUUUGUUUUGAAGUCGCCGCGACGCCCCGGCCAAAUUUUGAAAAACUUCUUAUUAAAUAACUGGUUACUUACUUAUAUGAUACAGGCCUAACUUAAGGAGCCCACCAGCAUCACUGCCUUAUUUAAAGACUGGUUCAAUGAGAUGAAACAACCUACACCCCAUUUCAGCAGGAAGUAGCUAGAUCGGUCAUCACCCCAAAUCCCUCAAGAUUGAAGGAUGGACAUAAAAGAGGGGGGAGUUGAUACCGAUCCUGAUAUCAAUUUCCCCACAUUAAACCCAGCAUAUAUGAGGUUAAAACCAAAAUACUCAUUCCCCGCUUACUCUCUGGCUUCCGGGCUCCAGAAUCCACUAUCCUCCAUGGAGACAGACAGCGUCAAGGACAAGCACCUGGACUAUCUCCUCCCACAGAGAUACAGGCUGGUGGGAAAGCUGCUGACCAGCAAGGUCAUGGGCUUCCUCCUCUCUGCAAGUGUCUCAAGGCCAAAGACAGGCUGGUGGGAAAGCUCCGACCAGCAAGGUCACGGGCUUCCUCCUCUCUGCAAGUGUCUCAAGGCCAAAGACAGGCUGGUGGGAAAGCUCCGACCAGCAAGGCCAUAUGCUCCCCCUCCACUACCUAAAGCCCCAAAUAAAAACCCUUCUUUUUAGCUUUUCAGGGAGUUUGGGAUUUCAGCGUUAGCCGCCCUCUCUCCUUGCUCAGCACUGUGCAAAAAUAAAGUUCCUACUUUCUUC
rnacentral:lncRNA from 1 species